rnacentral:rRNA from 1 species
GAGAUUUCCGAAUGGGGAAACCCAGCAUGAGUUAUGUCAUGUUAUAGAUAUGUGAAUACAUAGCAUAUCAGAAGGCACACCCGGAGAACUGAAACAUCUUAGUACCCGGAGGAAGAGAAAGAAAAUUCGAUUCCCUUAGUAGCGGCGAGCGAAACGGGAAGAGCCCAAACCAACAAGCUUGCUUGUUGGGGUUGUAGGACACUCUAUACGGAGUUACAAAGGACGACAUUAGACGAAUCAUCUGGAAAGAUGAAUCAAAGAAGGUAAUAAUCCUGUAGUCGAAAAUGUUGUCUCUCUUGAGUGGAUCCUGAGUACGACGGAGCACGUGAAAUUCCGUCGGAAUCUGGGAGGACCAUCUCCUAAGGCUAAAUACUCUCUAGUGACCGAUAGUGAACCAGUACCGUGAGGGAAAGGUGAAAAGCACCCCGGAAGGGGAGUGAAAUAGAACCUGAAACCGUGUGCUUACAAGUAGUCAGAGCCCGUUAAUGGGUGAUGGCGUGCCUUUUGUAGAAUGAACCGGCGAGUUACGAUUUGAUGCAAGGUUAAGCAGUAAAUGUGGAGCCGUAGCGAAAGCGAGUCUGAAUAGGGCGUUUAGUAUUUGGUCGUAGACCCGAAACCAGGUGAUCUACCCUUGGUCAGGUUGAAGUUCAGGUAACACUGAAUGGAGGACCGAACCGACUUACGUUGAAAAGUGAGCGGAUGAACUGAGGGUAGCGGAGAAAUUCCAAUCGAACCUGGAGAUAGCUGGUUCUCUCCGAAAUAGCUUUAGGGCUAGCCUCAAGUGAUGAUUAUUGGAGGUAGAGCACUGUUUGGAC